rnacentral:rRNA from 1 species
UGGUGCCAGCAGCCGCGGUAAUUCCAGCUCCAAUAGCGUAUAUUUAAGUUGUUGCAGUUAAAAAGCUCGUAGUUGGAUCUUGGGUCGUAAAGGUCGGUCCGCCUACUCGGUGUGCACCUGCCCUUCCGUCCCUUUUGUCGGCGGCGUGCUCCUGGCCUUAAUUGGCUGGGUCGCGGCUCCGGCGCUGUUACUUUGAAAAAAUUAGAGUGCUCAAAGCAAGCUUAUGCUCUGAAUACAUUAGCAUGGAAUAACGUGAUAGGAGUCUGGUCCUAUUGUGUUGGCCUUCGGGACCGGAGUAAUGAUUAAUAGGGACUGUCGGGGGCAUUCGUAUUUCAUUGUCAGAGGUGAAAUUCUUGGAUUUAUGAAAGACGGACCACUGCGAAAGCAUUUGUCAAGGAUGUUUUCAUUAAUCAAGAACGAAAGUUGGGGGCUCGAAGACGAUCAGAUACCGUCCUAGUCUCAACCAUAAACGAUGCCGACCAGGGAUCGGCGGAUGUUGCUCUAAGGACUCCGCCAGCACCUUCUGAGAAAUCAGAGUGUUUGGGUUCCGGGGGGAGUAUGGUCGCAAGGCUGA